AACGAACGCUGGCGGCAUGCCUAACACAUGCAAGUCGAACGAGACCUUCGGGUCUAGUGGCGCACGGGUGCGUAACGCGUGGGAACCUGCCCUUAGGUUCGGAAUAACUCCCCGAAAGGGGUGCUAAUACCGGAUAAUGUCUUCGGACCAAAGAUUUAUCGCCUUUGGAUGGGCCCGCGUUGGAUUAGCUGGUUGGUAGGGUAAAAGCCUACCAAGGCGACGAUCCAUAGCUGGUCUGAGAGGAUGAUCAGCCACACUGGGACUGAGACACGGCCCAGACUCCUACGGGAGGCAGCAGUGGGGAAUAUUGGACAAUGGGCGAAAGCCUGAUCCAGCAAUGCCGCGUGAGUGAUGAAGGCCUUAGGGUUGUAAAGCUCUUUUACCCGGGAUGAUAAUGACAGGACCGGGAGAAUAAGCUCCGGCUAACUCCGU
rnacentral:rRNA from 1 species